UGUCAAACCCCCAGGACGCUCUGGAAUCCAGAGCCAGCAGAAGUCCUCAGGCCAGGCACUCCAGACGACAACACAGUCUUUAGUGGUGAAACAGAAAGCGGCUCCAGCAGCAAGCAACACACCCAGCGUUCCAGCGAGCUGUGUGAAGCGCUAACAAGAGGCUGGCCUGGCAUCCUGGCCAGAGGGACUGCAGAGGCAGCCCAGGCCAGGACGGUGCCCUGCACCACCUCCAUCAGAACCCCCAGAGCUUGCUCAACAGCAGACCGACACCCAGGCGGCACCCCAG
rnacentral:lncRNA from 1 species